rnacentral:pre_miRNA from 1 species
GUAACCACUAGGCAAGAUGCUGGCAAGCUAAUUACCUUUUACCUGGCUUUCCAUCUCAGUCUAGCAGCAUUAUUGG